UACGUAGGGGGCAAGCGUUGUCCGGAAUUAUUGGGCGUAAAGAGCUCGUAGGCGGCCUGUCGCGUCGACUGUGAAAACCCAGGGCUCAACCCUGGGCCUGCAGUCGAUACGGGCAGGCUAGAGUGCAGUAGGGGAGACUGGAAUUCCUGGUGUAGCGGUGAAAUGCGCAGAUAUCAGGAGGAACACCGGUGGCGAAGGCGGGUCUCUGGGCUGUAACUGACGCUGAGGAGCGAAAGCGUGGGGAGCGAACAGG
rnacentral:rRNA from 1 species